GACGGGAGGAGGGACGGGAGGAGGGAGGGCGGGCAGGCGCCAGCCCAGAGCAGCCCCGGGCACCAGCACGGACUCUCUCUUCCAGCCCAGGUGCCCCCCACUCUCGCUCCAUUCGGCGGGAGCACCCAGUCCUGUACGCCAAGGAACUGUGCUGGGAUUACAGGCGUGAGCCACCGUGCCCGGCCCAAACUACUUUUUAAAACAGCUACAGGGUAAAAUCCUGCAGCACCCACUCUGGAAAAUACUGCUCUUAAUUUUCCUGAAGGUGGCCCCCUGUUUCUAGUUGGUCCAGGAUUAGGGAUGUGGGGUAUAGGGCAUUUAAAUCCUCUCAAGCGCUCUCCAAGCACCCCCGGCCUGGGGGUGAGUUUCUCAUCCCGCUACUGCUGCUGGGAUCAGGUUGAAUGAAUGGAACUCUUCCUGUCUGGCCUCCAAAGCAGCCUAGAAGCUGAGGGGCUGUGUUUGAGGGGACCUCCACCCUGGGGAAGUCCGAGGGGCUGGGGAAGGGUUUCUGACGCCCAGCCUGGAGCAGGGGGGCCCUGGCCACCCCCUGUUGCUCACACAUUGUCUGGCAGCCUGUGUCCACAAUAUUCGUCAGUCCUCGACAGGGAGCCUGGGCUCCGUCCUGCUUUAGGGAGGCUCUGGCAGGAGGUCCUCUCCCCCAUCCCUCCAUCUGGGGCUCCCCCAACCUCUGCACAGCUCUCCAGGUGCUGAGAUAUAAUGCACCAGCACAAUAAACCUUUAUUCCGGCCUG
rnacentral:lncRNA from 10 species